UACAGAGGUCUCAAGCGUUGUUCGGAUUCAUUGGGCGUAAAGGGUGUGUAGGUGGCGCGGUAAGUCGGGUGUGAAAUUCGAUGCUUAACUCCGAAACUGCAUUCGAUACUGCCGUGCUUGAGGACUGGAGAGGAGACUGGAAUUUACGGUGUAGCGGUGAAAUGCGUAGAUAUCGUAAGGAAGACCAGUGGCAAAGGCGGGUCUCUGGACAGUUCCUGA
rnacentral:rRNA from 1 species